UACAGAGGUCCCGAGCGUUGUUCGGAUUCAUUGGGCGUAAAUGGUGUGUAGGAGGCUAGGUAAGUCAGGCGUGAAAUCUCACCGCUUAACGGUGAAACUGCGUUUGAUACUGCUUGGCUAGAGGAUCGGAGGGGGAAGCGGAAUUCUUGGUGUAGCAGUGAAAUGCGUAGAUAUCAAGAGGAACACCGGUGGCGUAGGCGGCCUCCUGGAAGAUUCCUGACUCUGAAACACGAAAGCUAGGGGAGCAAACGGG
rnacentral:rRNA from 1 species